GACGGAGGCCUCGAGCGUUAGGCGGAAUCACUGGGCUUAAAGCGUGUGUAGGCGGGCCCGUAAGUGUCUUGUGAAAUCCCACGGCUCAACCGUGGAACUGCUGGGCAUACUGCGGGUCUUGGGCCAACUAGGGGCAGCCGGAACAAGCGGUGGAGCGGUGAAAUGCGUAGAUAUCGCUUGGAACGCCGAAGGUGAAAACAGGCUGCUGGGGUUGCGCCGACGCUGAGACACGAAAGCCAGGGGAGCAAACGGG
rnacentral:rRNA from 1 species